CCGUAGGUGAACCUGCGGAAGGAUCAUUACAGUGAGAUUUUAGGGGGUUAGAUGCCAGGGCCCGCGAGGGUCAGCGUGCGCGCCCCCGUUCUACUAGUCCCUUACACCCCGUGCACCUAUAUGGGUUGGGAUGCCUCGCGAGAGGCGUCCCCUCCCCUUCACACACGCCUGUCCAAACGCAUGUCUUUAAAGCCCCACGGGGUUUAGUUGGUAAAUAUAACUUUCGACAACGGAUCUCUUGGCUUUUGCAUCGAUGAAGGACGCCGCGAAAGUGCGAAACGUAAUGUGAAUUGCAGAAUUCAGUGAAUCAUCGAAUCUUUGAACGCAUCUUGCGCCCCUUGGUAUUCCGAGGGGCAUGCCUGUUUGAGUGUCGUGACCUCCCUCAACGACCUUUCCUUUGUUUCCUUUCGGAAAACAAAGGGAGGGGGCGGUUGGAUUUGGACGUCUGCGGCGGGGUCUUACCCCGUCGCUCGUCUCUAAAUGCAUUAGCAGCCGGUCUCCUUUAAGGUGAAGUCGGUCCAGACGACGGUGUGAUAAUUGAGACGCCUUGCCGUCGAGCGCCGUCAGGGUCGACCUUUUUGCCUUGGGGGGCCAUUGCUUUGUUGGACGUAUGUCGCUUCAGUGCCAUCUGACCUCAAAUCAGGUAGGAUUACCCGCCGAACUUAAGCAUAUCAAUAAGCGGAGGAAAAGAAACUAACGAGGAUUCCCCUAGUAACGGCGAGUGAAGCGGGAAGAGCUCAAAUUUGUAAUCUGGCGGCCCAUGGCCGUCCGAGUUGUAGUCUGGAGAAGCGUUUUCCGCUUCGGACCGUGUACAAGUCCCUUGGAACAGGGCGUCAUGGAGGGUGAGAACCCCGUCUCUGACACGGACUGCCGAAGCUUUUGCGAUG
rnacentral:rRNA from 1 species